AUGGCCUUCUCACCGUGGUUGCAGAUGGUGCUGCUCGUCGCCCUCGUCCUGUCCGCCCCGGCGCCCGCGGUUCUCGCGGCCGGCAGCAGCAAGGCCACCCGCAUCCGCCUCUACAUCCACGAGAGGUUCGAGGGCGCGAACGCGACGGUGGCGUCGCCGCUGCUGCGGUCCCCGCUGGGCGGCAACGCCACCUUCGGGGAGCCCGGCGUGAUCGACGACGAGCUCCGCGCCGGCCCGCGCCCUGGGUCCGACCUCGUCGGCAGGUUCCAGGGCUUCUUCGUCGGCACGGACCGGGCCGGGCCGAGUUACCUGUCCACCAUCACGCUCGUGUUCACCGCCGGGGAGCGCCGCGGGAGCACACUGACGGUGCAGGGCCAGUACCAUUUCGACUUCGACGGCGCGGCCGUGGAGCGCGCCGUCGUGGGCGGCACCGGGGUGUUCAGGAUGGCGCGCGGGUACUCCUUCAUGAAGGUCGUCAGCGCGCCGACGCCGGAGACGGUCGUGUUCAGGAUCGACCUGUUCGUGCUCCUGCCCCGCCCCGGCCACUACUUCUAG
rnacentral:rRNA from 1 species